CAGUCGCCGCGGUAAUACGUAGGUGGCAAGCGUUGUCCGGAAUUAUUGGGCGUAAAGGGCUCGCAGGCGGUUUCUUAAGUCUGAUGUGAAAGCCCCCGGCUCAACCGGGGAGGGUCAUUGGAAACUGGGAAACUUGAGUGCAGAAGAGGAGAGUGGAAUUCCACGUGUAGCGGUGAAAUGCGUAGAGAUGUGGAGGAACACCAGUGGCGAAGGCGACUCUCUGGUCUGUAACUGACGCUGAGGAGCGAAAGCGUGGGGAGCAAACAGGAUUAGAUACCCCCGUAGUCCCUGUCUCUUAUAU
rnacentral:rRNA from 1 species